rnacentral:rRNA from 1 species
UACAGAGGUGGCAAGCGUUGUUCGGAAUUACUGGGCGUAAAGGGCGCGUAGGCGGCCUUGUCAGUCAGACGUGAAAUCCCCAGGCUUAACUUGGGAACUGCGUCUGAUACUACAAGGCUGGAGUUCGGGAGAGGGAUGUGGAAUUCCUGGUGGUAGCGGUGGAAUGCGCAGAUAUCAGGAGGAACACCGAUGGCGAAGGCAGAUCUCUGGGCCGUAACUGACGCUGAGGAGCGAAAGCAUGGGGAGCGAACAGG